AUUGAACGCUGGCGGCAGGCCUAACACAUGCACGUCGAACGAGUGGCGGACGGGUGAGUAAUGUCUGGGACACUGCCUGAUGGAGGGGGAUAACUACUGGAAACGGUAGCUAAUACCGCAUACCCUCAGAUGUUCCCAGAGGGGAUUAGCUAGUUGGUGGGGUAACGGCUCACCAAGGCGACGAUCCCUAGCUGGUCUGAGAGGAUGACCAGCCACACUGGAAAGGGAACACGGUCCAGACUCCUACGGGAGGCAGCAGUGGGGAAUAUUGCACAAGGGGCGCAAGCCUGAUGCAGCCAUGCCGCGUGUAUUAAGAAGGCCUUCGGGUUGUAAAGUACUUUCAGCGGUGAGGCGUGACCUGCAGAAGAAGCACCGGCUAACUCCGUGCCAGCAGCCGCGGUAAUUC
rnacentral:rRNA from 1 species